AUUGAACGCUGGCGGCAUGCCUUACACAUGCAAGUCGAACGGCAGCACGGGUGCUUGCACCUGGUGACGAGUGGCGAACGGGUGAGUAAUACAUCGGAACAUGUCCUGUAGUGGGGGAUAGCCCGGCGAAAGCCGGAUUAAUACCGCAUACGAUCUACGGAUGAAAGCGGGGGACCUUCGGGCCUCGCGCUAUAGGGUUGGCCGAUGGCUGAUUAGCUAGUUGGUGGGGUAAAGGCCUACCAAGGCGACGAUCAGUAGCUGGUCUGAGAGGACGACCAGCCACACUGGGACUGAGACACGGCCCAGACUCCUACGGGAGGCAGCAGUGGGGAAUUUUGGACAAUGGGCGAAAGCCUGAUCCAGCAAUGCCGCGUGUGUGAAGAAGGCCUUCGGGUUGUAAAGCACUUUUGUCUGGAAAGAAAUCCUUGGCCCUAAUACGGUCGGGGGAUGACGGUACCGGAAGAAUAAGCACCGGCUAACUACGUG
rnacentral:rRNA from 1 species